CUCACCGUCCUGCCCACCUCUAGUGAGGAGCUGUCCAGUACAACAACAGCCACACUGAUAUGUCUGGCCAACAAGGGCUUCCACUCAGACUGGACUAUGAGCUGGAAAGUGGACGGGACCAGCAAGAAACAAGAGGCCAGUCCCAGGGUCCUGGAGGACAGUAUGUACAGCUGGAGCAGCACCCUGACUCUCACUGCCCAGGAGUGGACCAAGGCAGGAGAGGUGACCUGUGAAGCCCAGCAGAAAUCCCAGACUCCGGUCACCAAGACCCUGAGGAGGACUGACUGUUCUGGGUAG